rnacentral:rRNA from 1 species
UACAGAGGUGGCAAGCGUUGUUCGGAAUUACUGGGCGUAAAGGGCGCGUAGGCGGUUCGGUAAGUCCUGUGUGAAAUCCCUCGGCUCAACUGAGGAACUGCACGGGAGACUGCCGGGCUUGAGUUCGGGAGAGGGAAGCGGAAUUCCGGGUGUAGCGGUGAAAUGCGUAGAUAUCCGGAGGAACACCGGUGGCGAAGGCGGCUUCCUGGACCGACACUGACGCUGAGGCGCGAAAGCUAGGGGAGCAAAC